AUUGAACGCUGGCGGCAUGCUUUACACAUGCAAGUCGAACGGUAACAGGCCUUCGGGUGCUGACGAGUGGCGAACGGGUGAGUAAUGCAUCGGAACGUGCCCAAUCGUGGGGGAUAACGUAGCGAAAGUUACGCUAAUACCGCAUAAGCCCUGAGGGGGAAAGCAGGGGAUCGCAAGACCUUGCGCGAAUGGAGCGGCCGAUGUCAGAUUAGCUAGUUGGUGGGGUAAAGGCCUACCAAGGCGACGAUCUGUAGCGGGUCUGAGAGGAUGAUCCGCCACACUGGGACUGAGACACGGCCCAGACUCCUACGGGAGGCAGCAGUGGGGAAUUUUGGACAAUGGGCGCAAGCCUGAUCCAGCCAUGCCGCGUGCGGGACGAAGGCCUCGGUUGUAA
rnacentral:rRNA from 1 species